UACGUAGGGUGCGAGCGUUAAUCGGAAUUACUGGGCGUAAAGGGUGCGCAGGCGGCUCCGCAUGUCGGGCGUGAAAUCCCCGGGCUUAACCUGGGAAUUGCGUCCGAAACUAGGGAGCUGGAGUGUGGCAGAGGGAGGUGGAAUUCCACGUGUAGCGGUGAAAUGCGUAGAGAUGUGGAGGAACACCGAUGGCGAAGGCAGCCUCCUGGGCCAACACUGACGCUCAUGCACGAAAGCGUGGGGAGCAAACAGG
rnacentral:rRNA from 1 species